rnacentral:sRNA from 1 species
GCGGAGGAAAAGAAACCAACAGGGAUUGCCUCAGUAACGGCGAGUGAAGCGGCAACAGCUCAAAUUUGAAAUCUGGCCACCUUACGGAGGCCCGAGUUGUAAUUUGAAGAGGAUGCUUUUGGCGAGGUGCCUUCCGAGUGCCCUGGAACGGGACGCCACAGAGGGUGAGAGCCCCGUAUGGUUGGACACCGAGCCUAUGUAAAGCUCCUUCGACGAGUCGAGUAGUUUGGGAAUGCUGCUCAAAAUGGGAGGUAAACCCCUUCUAAAGCUAAAUAUUGGCCAGAGACCGAUAGCGCACAAGUAGAGUGAUCGAAAGAUGAAAAGCACUUUGAAAAGAGAGUUAAAAAGCACGUGAAAUUGUUGAAAGGGAAGCGCUUGCGACCAGACUUGCGCCCGUCGGAUCAACCGUCGCUUGUCGGCGGCUCACUCCGGCGGGCUCAGGCCAGCAUCAGUUUUCCCGGGGGGAGAAAGGCGGUGGGAAUGUGGCUCUUCGGAGUGUUAUAGCCCGCCGCGUAAUACCCUCGGGGGGA